rnacentral:lncRNA from 1 species
GUGCUCUGAUUCCCAACCUAUGACCAUGAAUGUGAGGUUGAUCAUAGGUUCCAAUGGCACGAGCUUGGCGCUAUGGAUGUUGUGGCUGGCGCUGUGGUCUAAAAUGAUUAGCUCCUGGACCAUUGCCUCCUUGGGCUUCACCAUCUUGAGGCAGAUUCUCCAUAUCAAACCCCAACCCUUGCAAGUGAGCCUGUUGCUCUACUUCUCUUCUUUGUCUUGCUAUC